rnacentral:piRNA from 1 species
UGUGACAAGCACAAUAAGAAAUGGGGGA